rnacentral:tRNA from 1 species
UCCCUGGUAGCUCAGUUGGAAAAGAAUCUGCCUGCAAUGCAGGAGACCCUGGUUUGAUUCCUGGGUUGGGAA